GGAACCAUGGCGCAGCUGGUAGCGCGCUUCAUUCACAUUGAAGAGGUCGAAGGUUCGAAUCCUUCUGGUUCCACCA
rnacentral:tRNA from 1 species